rnacentral:lncRNA from 1 species
AUUAGGCACAUCCAAGAAAGGCUGACUUCACCCACACCGCAGUGUGGACUUCACUGUUUAGCUUUCCCAACAGAAUACGACUUCGCUUGACUCAGUUAACUCAUACUCUCUCAAUGUUCCAUAUUCUGCUUGGCCACUUAACACACCAGUCGGUGAGCACGACCCUCAUCGGCUCCUGUCCAGCCAAACCCUGCGUGUGCCUCCUGACUUCUGAACGGAUGGACGGCAAGACCCACUGAGUCUACCUUUAAAGGACACACGACUGAGGGUGGGGCCGAGGAUACGGAGAAACUACUAUCCACCAACGAGGCCUCAUGCACACUGAUUAAGAACACAUCCUGGGACAGAAAUGUUAGCGUGGAAAAAGGUACCUCUUAGAACUGAGAAUAUCCCACCCCCCCCCAAAUCUGUAUUAGCCCACCCAAAGUAAACAGACCUUCUAAAUAAAAACAACGCCCUUGCUCUGUACAUGCGACUUCAAGAUAAUUUCUUUCGUGCUGUAUUCGUGCAUUUAGACAGAAGUUCUGCAUUUACAAAGACAUUCUGGAGCAUCUAUAGCAAAAACGUCUUCAUAAGUUGUUGCCAAAACAAUGCGGCCUGACAAUCUAAAAACUCAGUAGCAGCUUCAACACAAGCGCUUGUCCUUUUAUAGUCACGCAGGCGGCCUGCAGCUCAUCUCGAAUGGACUCAUCCAGGUGGCUUGACCUGAGGUCGUGGACUGGAGUCAGAUCUGCUCUAUGUGGCCCAUCCCGGGACCCAGGCGGCCCUGUCUGCAGCCUGCUCGUCUGACGGCUCACUACCAAAGCGCAAGGGCCAAGGCAAAAUGCACAAACGCAGUGCUCCGUUCUUACCAGACCACAGGAGGUCAGCACACAGUGGCCUGAUGAGCUGCUUGGAGUGUGUGUCAUCGAUGGGCCCUCCUGGAGAUGCCGCGGCUGUGCAGUCCCCUCAGGGGCAAGGCUACAUCUGGUAUAACUUCAUUUCAACACAGGUGUUGAUGAUAUGGUCAAGUCAUGUAGAAAUGAGAGAUUCAGUUGCUCCUUCCCUUGGUGGCCUGUCUACACAGCUUCAUGAAGGGAGGAAUGGAGAAAUUUCUGUCCCUCCAUUCAAAGACAUUUUAAGAAGGAAGAAUAAAUCCAAGCACCUGGAACCUUCAGUCAAGUCACAUUUUUAUCUAUUCCAUUGGUGUAAGGGGAAUGUGAAAGACUGAAACAUACUUUCAGGAUAAAGCUAGCUGUCUAGAGAUCUUUUAGAGACAAAAGUUUUACUGAAAGUGUAGUAUAGUCACAGGAAAAGUCCUCAAAUUAGACUUAUGGGUUCAAAUCCCAACACUACCAUUUCCUAGUUAUGUGUCAGUCUGCUUGGGCCGACAUAUCAAAAUACCAUAG